rnacentral:misc_RNA from 1 species
CCUAAGAGAUACGUGUUAUGUGAAGUGCUCACACAGAUUGUCUGAUGAAGAACGAGCAGAGAUACCGGUAUAGGCUUGUAGCUCAGGUGGUUAGAGCGCACCCCUGAUAAGGGUGAGGUCGGUGGUUCAAGUCCACUCAGGCCUACCACUUUUCCUUUAUGCUGUGUUGUGAAGCAACUCGUUUACAUUAAGUAAACUUCGUUACUCCACGCCUUGCCUAAAGAAAAAGCUUCUUAUUAUAAGAAGAAAAAGGAGUGGUUAUACAGGUAUUAAAACAUUAUGGGGCUAUAGCUCAGCUGGGAGAGCGCCUGCCUUGCACGCAGGAGGUCAGCGGUUCGAUCCCGCUUAGCUCCACCAUAAUCUCUUGAAUAUAAAACAAUGAUUCAGAGUAUAUUAGGAAUAGUAUACUGCGAAUUAUUAUGCUCUUUAACAAUCUGGAACAAGCUGAAAAAUUGAAAACAAAUCAAUAUAUCACCGAGGUAUAUUGGUGAGUCUCUCAAAAUCUCAAACCUUAAAGUUUGUCACGCAAAGUUUAUCUUUGAAAAAGACACUUUCGGGUUGUGA